rnacentral:rRNA from 1 species
UUUCGCAAUGCCCGAAAGGGUGACGAAGCGACGCCGCGUGCGGGAAGAAGGCCUUCGGGUUGUAAACCGCUGUCGGGAGUUAAGAAAUGCAAGGGUGUUAACAGCGUCCUUGCUUGACUAAGGCUCCGGAGGAAGCCACGGCUAACUCUGUGCCAGCAGCCGCGGUAAUACAGAGGCGGCAAGCGUUGUUCGGAAUUAUUGGGCGUAAAGAGCACGUAGGCGGCUGUGUAAGUCGGUUGUGAAAGCCUUCCGCUCAACGGAAGAAGCGCAUCCGAUACUGCAUAGCUCGAGUGCGGGAGGGGAGAGUGGAACUUCUGGUGGGGCGGUGAAAUGCGUAGAUAUCAGAAGGAACACCGGCGGCGAAGGCGACUCUCUGGUCCGUAACUGACGCUGAGUGUGCGAAAGCUAGGGGAGCAAACGGGAUUAGAUACCCCGGUAGUCCUAGCCGUAAACGAUGGGCACUAAGUAGAGGGGUUUU